rnacentral:piRNA from 1 species
UUCUUUGCCACGUGCAGGCUUCUCCCUGCCCA